CGGUGUUCAACUGGCGUGUCCGCGGGACGUCCUGCCGGUGGGCUUAGCCCGCAAGGGCGGCCCAACUUCAAAUCCCAUCGCGGUGCUCUUCACUGAGUGUCGAGGUGGGCCGGCACGUUUACUUUGAACAAAUUAGAGUGCUUAAAGCAGGCUAAAACUUCGCCUGAAUACUGUGUGCAUGGAAUAAUGGAAUAGGACCUCGGUUCUAUUUUGUUGGUGUUCGGAACCCCGAGGUAAUGAUUAAUAGGAACGGAUGGGGGCAUUCGUAUUGCGACGUUAGAGGUGAAAUUCUUGGAUCGUCGCAAGACGGACAGAAGCGAAAGCAUUUGCCAAAAACGCUUUCAUUGAUCAAGAACGAAAGUUAGAGGUUCGAAGGCGAUCAGAUACCGCCCUAGUUCUAACCAUAAACGAUGCCAGCUAGCGAUCCGUCGACGUUCCUCCGAUGACUCGACGGGCAGCUUCCGGGAAACCAAAGCUUUUGGGUUCCGGGGGAAGUAUGGUUGCAAAGCUGAAACUUAAAGGAAUUGACGGAAGGGCACCACCAGGAGUGGAGCCUGCGGCUUAAUUUGACUCAACACGGGAAACCUCACCAGGCCCGGACACCGGAAGGAUUGACAGAUUGAGAGCUCUUUCUUGAUUCGGUGGGUGGUGGUGCAUGGGCCGUUCUUAGUUGGUGGAGCGAUUUGUCUGGUUAAUUCCGAUAACGAACGAGACUCUAGCCUGCUAACUAGGCGUAUUUUCGACAUCUCAAAGGUCCGUCGUCCCGGCCCUCGGGUCGUGGGCGUGCGCGAUUUUUACUGUCGGCGUACUAUCAAUUCUUCUUAGAGGGACAGGUGGCUUCUAGCCGCACGAGAUUGAGCAAUAACAGGUCUGUGAUG
rnacentral:rRNA from 1 species